AUUGAACGCUGGCGGCAGGCUUAACACAUGCAAGUCGAGCGGGGGAAGGUAGCUUGCUACCGGACCUAGCGGCGGACGGGUGAGUAAUGCUUAGGAAUCUGCCUAUUAGUGGGGGACAACAUCUCGAAAGGGAUGCUAAUACCGCAUACGUCCUACGGGAGAAAGCAGGGGAACUUCGGACCUUGCGCUAAUAGAUGAGCCUAAGGCGGAUUAGCUAGUUGGUGGGGUAAAGGCCUACCAAGGCGACGAUCUGUAGCGGGUCUGAGAGGAUGAUCCGCCACACUGGGACUGAGACACGGCCCAGACUCCUACGGGAGGCAGCAGUGGGGAAUAUUGGACAAUGGGGGGAACCCUGAUCCAGCCAUGCCGCGUGUGUGAAGAAGGCCUUAUGGUUGUAAAGCACUUUAAGCGAGGAGGAGGCUACUUUAGUUAAUACCUAGAGAUAGUGGACGUUACUCGCAGAAUAAGCACCGGCUAACUCUGUGCCAGCAGCCGCAGUAA
rnacentral:rRNA from 1 species